GCCGAGCUUGGUAAUGCAAGCUUGUGACCUAAAUAGGGGCAUUAAGAUGUUGGAAGGUCUUU
rnacentral:SRP_RNA from 1 species